GAGUCGGAUCAAUACUGAGGUGAGUUGUGACAUGUGGGGGCGCAGUGUGGGCUUCUGGGCGGCAGAAGCGAAAGGCAGUGUACUGAAUCUGUUUCGAAGCAAUGACCUUUGUUUCUCACUGUUACUAAUUUUUGCUUAGAAAUAUUUUAGUGCGAGAAAUAAGGAUAUAGAGAGAAAAAAAAUGCCAAACCGAAAAAUAUCACGGACCAUCAUUUAUGGUUGUACCAAAAAGAUACAAAUUAUUGCAUCUACGCAGAAGGGCACCAUAUUGGAUACUGCUUCAUUUUCAAAAAAAGGGACCUAAAAGACUUGGUUUAUGUGAAGUGAGGGCUACGGAGAAAUUUGAGAAACAGGCUGGAUGUAGAAUGAAAGUCACCAGAAACACGAGGCCCAUUUGUUUGUUUGGUUUGGCCCAAACAGAUGUCUGUCGCAUCACUAUUCACAGAAUCUGUAGUGUCGUCAGCAUCAUCUUUAUGAAGUGUUCCAGUAGUGUGGCAGUGGUAGCAAAUGACCACAUCUGAAGGACCAUGAUAGCACGUCAUCCCUCCUGAUUGUCGAUGAUACAGUUGCAUAUUUAAUGCAACAGAUAACCGUUCCUGAAUGGGGAGGGGAUCUGGUAUUUGAUGACUAUCUCAUGUGAUUGUUAAGUGAUGGCACAACCAGCCAGUUCUUGUUCUUUGCAUUGCUAUCAGAGGAUCGGUGUCCUGUUAAGAGGCAUAUUAACAUUCUUUACCAUGAUUGGCUCCACACACUCAGGGUUGACAUCUGGUAAACUAAAUACAGCCAAAGCAAGCUAUGGGUAGCAACCCUAGAGAGAAACAUUGAGAGCUGCCCAACACUGUGUUCUGCUGCUGGAGUAGUUGAAACACGGCAAUAUCCUGGAAAUGGAUUGGCAACCUUUUCAUCAAUGGCUUGCUCCCUGGACCAGAGCUGAAUUAUCGUUCUACAUUCAUAGGAAGAUGUAAAAGAAGAAUGGUGUUUGGAGCAAGUGGAUUGACGCUUGUGUCCAGUGUUUCAUAAGCUGUCCAUGUGUCCUUGUGGUGCCAACUAGCUUGUGCAGCCAUUGAGGUCACAGUUGGGAAUGAUGGCACACAAAGAAUUAACUUAUGAUGUUCUUGCCUAAAUGUCCUGGUAAGGUUUAAACUCUUCAGUUUGAAGAGCUACAUUCAGGUGUGUUUGCAUCCUGUGGAUUCCCAAUGACAAACCACGUGAACUGACCCUAUUGUGGUUGGAGGCUGGACUGGCAAACAGACCUUAAUGCUGGAAGCUUGGUUUUCUGUCAGAUCAGUUUGCUGUCAGAUCCCUUUUCCUAAACUGUGUCCUUAUGCAAUAGUGUGUGUGUGUGUGUGUGUGUGUGUGUGUGUGUGUGUGUGUGUGUGUGUGUGUUUUCAGGCAAAACAAAUGCUAGUGGGCAUCUUUGAGUGCAUCUACUGCACAUAGAUUGAAUUGGCUUAUGUACUGCUGCUGGAUAUAGGGACGUUCCAAUACCAGAUUCAAUAAGAUAUUUGGUAUCAAUACCAAUACAUACAGUUAUAUAGGUCUCGUGAUAAUAUAGGAACAAAAGUAUUGAUAUUGGAAAUACAGCAAGGUAUUGAUGGCUUUUUACAUAUUUUUGAGCUUUCCUUCAAGACAAAUGGUUUGGAAUACAGUGCAAAAUAUGGGACAUGCACUGUAUGUACAUGAACUGACCUCAGUAUAAAGUGUAAUAUACACAAAACCAUAACAGUGAAAUUUUCAAAAUUUCAACCAAAGUAGAGGCAUAGAUAUAAAUUUCAUCUAACACACAAAUGCCGUUCUUAAAAACGAAACUAUUUUCGUAGUGAAAAGUUGCAUUUAACAGAAAUAUUCUGUUUUGAUAUGCUGCCUAAAAUAUUUAUUUUUGUUGGUUUUUGGCAAAAAUUUGAUCUCUCUGUUGUGAGAGUGGAGUGCCAGGUUCGUGGUUGGAGGGGUGUUUGUUGUUUCACGAGGCACUGAAGUUGCCAUUUUGAGGAAAUGAAUGCUUGCGUGUUUUCACAAUGUGUGAAAAAAUGGUCUUAUUGUUCUCUCAUUCUGUUAAAGAAUUUGAUUUCAGAGGGUCAUCCUCUUCUGCCAGGAGAAAGGACAAGCUUCUAAUAUAUCCUCCCAAAAUAAGUGUUUUUACGUAUCGUCUUCCUCAUAUUUGCCAGAGGAACUUUCUCCAGAUGAAUAAUGGCUCAAGAAUUAUACUGACUGCAGAUAUGGAAUUUUCUGCUGCAGGUCAAACGGCUCCGACGUUGCAGCAGUGUAACAACUCACUUCUGCUAAAAUAUUAGCACUGUUAAGAGUUGAAAUUGUUCAUUUAUGUGCACAGUUUACCACUGAAAUUAUUUUGAGUAUUGUACUUAACCAAGAACACUGUAAUUUAUUGCUCGAACAGUACACACACAUGGAAGACAAGGUACAAUACAAUUAGCAAUAAGUCAGUGGCCAGCAGAGCCUUGUGCUCCAGCCUAUAUAGACAUUAGUUCCAACAGGUGGUGCAGCCGGCAUGCUGCGCCCACACCUGCUGUCAUAUUAGUAGAUCAAAUGGCCUCUAGCGGCCCAAAAAAAAAAAAAAAACAAAACAUCCAGUAUGUUUAUUCAUUUCUCUCCCAAGAUUUCCAUAACAACCCACUUGUUCGGCUGAAAUAACACAGUAGUAGUCAAAGCUCUUGCUCUUACUGGCACAUGUCAGUUUCACUCUUCAAGUGUCAUCCAGAAAAGCAAAGCUCAGGAUUUUCUUCAUGUGUAGGAAUGUUUAGAAGAUACAGUAGGUUGAUUUCUAACUUAUUUUCAUGUCUAUAAUUACACUUUUUGUAUUUCCUUCUGGAGGAAUAGUGCUGUGGCCACAAAGCAACAGAAUCUCAAGUGAAGUGGGAAAAACCCAAACAGACUCGAAGAUCUGUGAAAAUAACAAACAACAAAUGUCCUAAGUGAGACAUUCGCAAAAACACGAGGUGCGCAAGUGACCCCCUAAGCAAGCAGGUUUGAAAAAGUGACUAAAGGGGAAAACAAAACAGUGCAAUAACGUAAUACACACAAUCUAGUGUUGGGCAUAAUGGCACCUGUAUACUGACAUAUUUCUGGCUGUGCAGUUGUAUUUAAGUGUGUACCACAUGAAACAGGAAAAAAAUACAUAAUUGAAGAAUAGAAUUGUAGCAAGUA